GAAAUGCGAUAAGUAAUGUGAAUUGCAGAAUUCAGUGAAUCAUCGAAUCUUUGAACGCAUCUUGCGCUCCUUGGUAUUCCUUGGAGCACGCCUGUUUGAGUAUCAUGAAAUCUUCAAAGUAAAUCUUUUGUUAACUCAAUUGGUUUCUACUUUGGUAUUGGAGGUCUUUGCAGCUUCACACCUGCUCCUCUUUGUUCAUUAGCUGGAUCUCAGUGUUAUGCUUGGUUCCACUCGGCGUGAUAAGUUAUCUAUCGCUGAGGACACUGUAAAAGGUGGCCAAGGUAAAUGCAGAUGAACCGCUUCUAAUAGUCCAUUGACUUGGACAAUACUUUUAUGAUCUGAUCUCAAAUCAGGUAGGACUACCCGCUGAACUUAAGC
rnacentral:misc_RNA from 1 species